ACCGGCGGCUCGAGUGGUGGCCACUAUUACUGGGCUUAAAGCGUUCGUAGCUGGCUUGUUAAGUCUCUGGGGAAAUCUUCCGGCUCAACCGGAAGGCGUCUCAGGGAUACUGGCAGGCUAGGGACCGGAAGAGGUGAGAGGUAAUCCAGGGGUGGGAGUGAAGACCUGUGAGCCUAGGGGGAGCACCUGUGGCGGAGGGGUCACACCGGAUCGGAACCGAUAGUGAUGAGCGAAAGUUAGGAACACAAGCCG
rnacentral:rRNA from 1 species